GUGCUUGCUUUGGCAACACAUACAUUAAAACUGGAACAAUACAGAGAUCAGCAUGACCCCUGCACAAGGAUAACAUGCAAAUUCAUAAAGUGUACCAUAUUUUU